AGAGUUUGAUCCUGGCUCAGGAUGAACGCUAGCGAUAGGCUUAACACAUGCAAGUCGAGGGGCAGCAUGAUCUUAGCUUGCUAAGGUUGAUGGCGACCGGCGCACGGGUGCGUAACGCGUAUGCAACUUGCCUUACAGAGGGGGAUAACCCGUUGAAAGACGGACUAAAACCGCAUACACUUGUAUUAUUGCAUGAUAUUACAAGGAAAUAUUUAUAGCUGUAAGAUAGGCAUGCGUCCCAUUAGCUUGUUGGUGAGGUAACGGCUCACCAAGGCGACGAUGGGUAGGGGAACUGAGAGGUUUAUCCCCCACACUGGUACUGAGACACGGACCAGACUCCUACGGGAGGCAGCAGUGAGGAAUAUUGGUCAAUGGGCGAGAGCCUGAACCAGCCAAGUCGCGUGAAGGAAGACAGUCCUAAGGAUUGUAAACUUCUUUUAUACGGGAAUAACGGGCGAUACGAGUAUUGCAUUGAAUGUACCGUAAGAAUAAGCAUCGGCUAACUCCGUGCCAGCAGCCGCGGU
rnacentral:rRNA from 1 species